rnacentral:rRNA from 1 species
CCUACGGGAGGCUGCAGUGAGGAAUAUUGGUCAAUGGGCUUACGCCUGAACCAGCCAAGUCGCGUGAGGGAAGACUGCCCUAUGGGUUGUAAACCUCUUUUGUCAGGGAGCAACGCCGGCUACGUGUAGCCGGACUGAGAGUACCUGAAGAAAAAGCAUCGGCUAACUCCGUGCCAGCAGCCGCGGUAAUACGGAGGAUGCGAGCGUUAUCCGGAUUUAUUGGGUUGAAAGGGUGCGUAGGCGGAAUGCAAAGUCAGCGGUAAAAUCGCGGGGCUCAACCUCGCUCCGCCGUUGAAACUGGCAUUCUUGAGUGUUCGAGAAGUAUGCGGAAUGCGUGGUGUAGCGGUGAAAUGCCUAGAUCUCAC